rnacentral:tRNA from 2 species
GAGAUGUUAACUUAAUUUUAAAGUGCCAAACUUUUAAUUUGGAAAUGGGUGUCCCACAUCUUA